GUUAGUGGCGAAAGGGUGAGGAAUAGAUAGGAACGUGCCUUUGGCUUCGGAAUAGCGUCCCGAAAGGGGCGGUAAUACCGGAUAACGUCUACGGACCAAAGAUUAUCGGCCUUAGAGCGGCCUAUCUCCUAUCAGCUUGUUGGUGGGGUAAUGGCCUACCAAGGCAACGACGGGUAGCGGGACUGAGAGGUUGGCCCGCCACAUCGGGACUGAGACACUGCCCGGACCUCCACGGAGGGCUGCAGUAACGAAUAUUGGGCAAUGGGCGAAAGCCUGACCCAGCAAUGCCGCGUGUAGGAUGAAGCCCCUCGGGGUGUAAACUACUGUCAGGGGUUAGAAAGCUACGGUUGAUCAACCCCAGAGGAAGUCACGGCUAACUUCGUGCCAGCAGCCGCGGUAAUACGACGGUGGCGAGCGUUAUUCGGAAUUACUGGGCUUAAAGCGCACGCAGGCGGAAUAUAUAGCGUCUUGUGAGAUCCCCCGGCUUAACCGGGGAAUUGCAGGGCGUACUGGUAUUCUUGAGGCAAGUAGGGGUGCAUGGAACUCUUGGUGGAACAGGUGGAAUGCGUAGAUAUCAAGAGGAACGCCGAUGGUGAAGACAGUGCACUGGGCUUGUCCUGACGCUGAGGUGCGAAAGCGUGGGGAGCGAACGGGAUUAGAUACCCCGGUAGUCCACGCCGUAAACGAUGCCUACUAGGUCGUGGUUGUUCUGACACACUCACGGCCGAAGCAAAAGUGUUUAGUAGGCCGCCUGGGGAGUACGGUCGCAAGGCUAAAACUCAAAGGAAUUGACGGGGGCUCACACAAGCGGUGGAGCAUGUGGAUUAAUUCGAAGCAACGCGCAGAACCUUACCUGGGUUUGACAUGUAUGGAUGCCUGCUGUGAAAACAGUUAGGUUGCCUUCGGGUGAAACUUACACAGGUGCUGCAUGGCUGUCGUCAGCUCGUGUCGUGAGAUGUCGGGUUAAGUCCUUUAACGAGCGAAACCCUUGCCGUUAGUUGCCAGCGGGUCAUGCCGGGGACUCUAACGGGACUGCCGGUGUCAAACCGGAGGAAGGUGGGGAUGACGUCAAGUCCUCAUGGCCUUUAUGCCCAGGGCCUCACACGUGCUACAAUGGGUGCUACAGAGCGACGCGAGACCGCGAGGUGGAGCUAAUCGCAAAAAAGCAUCCUCAGUUCGGAUUGCAGGCUGGCAAUUCGCCUGCAUGAAGUUGGAAUCGCUAGUAAUCGCGUAUCAGCUAUGACGCGGUGAAUGUGUUCCUGAGCCUUGACACACCGCCCGUCAAGUGAUGGAAGCCGGGAGUACCCGAAGUCGGGUUGCUA
rnacentral:rRNA from 1 species